rnacentral:rRNA from 1 species
UACGAAGGGGGCUAGCGUUGCUCGGAAUUACUGGGCGUAAAGGGCGCGAUAGGCGGUUCUAUAAGUCAGGCGUGAAAUUCCUGGGCUUAACCUGGGGGCUGCGCUUGAGACUGUGGGACUUGAGGUCAGAAGAGGGUCGUGGAAUUCCCAGUGUAGAGGUGAAAUUCGUAGAUAUUGGGAAGAACACCGGUGGCGAAGGCGGCGACCUGGUCCGUGACUGACGCUGAGGCGCGAAAGCGUGGGGAGCAAACAGG